CAAGUCGAGCGAGAGGGGGUAGCAAUACCCUAGUAAAGCGGCGCACGGGUGAGUAACACGUGGAUAACCUGCCUCGAAGUGGGGAAUAACCCCGGGAAACCGGAGCUAAUACCGCAUAUUCUGACGAGGUCUGCGGAUUUUGUCAGGAAAGGAGCAAUUCGCUUUGAGAGGGGUCCGCGGCUGAUUAGCUAGUUGGUGAGGUAAUGGCUCACCAAGGCCACGAUCAGUAGCCGGUCUGAGAGGACGGUCGGCCACACUGGAACUGAGACACGGUCCAGACUCCUACGGGAGGCAGCAGUGGGGAAUUUUUCGCAAUGGGGGCAACCCUGACGAAGCAACGCCGCGUGGGUGAUGAAGUAUUUCGGUACGUAAAACCCUUUCGACGGGGAAGAAACCGCAAGGUUGACGGUACCCGUAGAAGAAGCCCCGGCUAACUCCGUGCCAGCAGCCGCGGUAAUACGGGGGGGGCAAGCGUUGUUCGGAAUUACUGGGCGUAAAGGGCGCGUAGGCGGUUCGCUAAGUUGGAUGUGAAAACUCUGGGCUUAACCCAGAGCCUGCAUCCAAAACUGGCGAACUGGAGUACUGGAGGGGAAAGCGGAAUUCCUGGUGUAGCGGUGAAAUGCGUAGAUAUCAGGAGGAACACCGGUGGCGAAGGCGGCUUUCUGGACAGUAACUGACGCUGAGGCGCGAAAGCUAGGGGAGCAAACAGGAUUAGAUACCCUGGUAGUCCUAGCCCUAAACUAUGGAUACUUGGUGUGAGGGGGAUUGAAUCCCUUCGUGCCGUA
rnacentral:rRNA from 1 species